rnacentral:lncRNA from 1 species
CCUUUUUUUGAACGAUCAAUACAUUUGAAUGGGGACAUGUAGUUGGAACCCCCACCCCCUUUUAUCCUGGGUUAGGACCCUCCUUUUUAAAAUGGCUGGAUCCGCCCUGCCGCUUUCAUAACACUUAUUUUUAGCAUACUGAAUAUUAUAAUGUUCUUACUUUCAGUUCAGGACCUGAUAAAAAUUUUACACAUCCAGUACAGAAAGAAAUGUUUCAAUGAAAGUUUUCGUGUUUUUCUAGGCAGAAAUGAUUUUGGAAUGACAUUAUACAGGUUUAAAAGAGCUCAAAAAAU